rnacentral:rRNA from 1 species
UACGUAGGGUGCAAGCGUUAAUCGGAAUUACUGGGCGUAAAGCGUGCGCAGGCGGCUUUGCAAGACAGAUGUGAAAUCCCCGGGCUUAACCUGGGAACUGCAUUUGUGACUGCAUGGCUGGAGUGCGGCAGAGGGGGAUGGAAUUCCGGCGUGUAGCAGUGAAAUGCGUAGAUAUGCGGAGGAACACCGAUGGCGAAGGCAAUCCCCUGGGCCUCACUGACGCUCAUGCACGAAAGCGUGGGAAGCAAACAGG